AACGAACGCUGGCGGCAGGCUUAACACAUGCAAGUCGAACGCCCCGCAAGGGGAGUGGCAGACGGGUGAGUAACGCGUGGGAAUCUACCUAGUUCUACGGAACAACUGAGGGAAACUUCAGCUAAUACCGUUUACGCCCUAAGGGGGAAAGAUUUAUCGCAAUUAGAUGAGCCCGCGUUGGAUUAGCUAGUUGGUGGGGUAAUGGCCUACCAAGGCGACGAUCUAUAGCUGGUCUGAGAGGAUGAUCAGACACACUGGGACUGAGAAACGUCCCAGACUCCUACGGGAGGGAGCAGUGGGGAAUAGUGGACAAUGGGCGCAAGCCUGAUCCAGCCAAGCCGCGUGAGUGAUGAAGGCCUUAGGGUUGUAAAGCUCUUUCAGUGGGGACGAUAAUGACGGUACCCACAGAAGAAGCCCCGGCUAACUUCGUGCCAGCAGCCGCUGUAACAC
rnacentral:rRNA from 1 species